GAUUAAGUUAUUAAGGGCGACGGUGGUGCCUUGGCACUAGAAGCCGUGAAGGACGUUACUAACGAUAUGCUUUGGGGAGCUGUAAGUAAGCUUUGAUCCAGAGAUUUCCGAAUGGGGAAACCCAGCAUGAGUAUGUCAUGUUAUCGAUAUGUGAAUACAUAGCAUAUCAGAAGGCACACCCG
rnacentral:rRNA from 1 species